rnacentral:lncRNA from 1 species
CUUGCGAUCCUUGGAACAUCGAUGGUCAUUGGCGAUGGAAUUAUCACUCCUUCCAUCUCAGGUCUCUAAAUAUCAAUAUACACUCUCUAUCCCAUCCCUUGAUCAUCAUAUCAAACUAGUACUGCCGAAAUUAGCUCAUAAAGAUAUAAACUGUCCAACCUGCUGAGUAUAUUUAAAUGACGAGUCAAUUUGGGCACAUCCCAAGUCAGCGCAUCUAAAGGUUGGGCUGGUCUUGAGGUAUAAAUAUGUAACCCAAAUUGAGCCAUAAUAUCACUUAUCAAAAGACUUCUAAAUUUUUUUUAAUUAGAUAUGUAAGAUAUAGUCAUACUCCCUCAGUUCUAUAUACACUACUAACAACAACAACGACCUAGUAAAAUCCCACAAUUGGGGUCUGGGCAGAGCAGUGUGUACGCACACCUUACCCAUUAUACACUAACAAUAAAAGAAUUUUUGUACUAUCAAGUCACCCAAAAGAAAACUAUAAGUAAUUGUCAAUAAUAAGUAGUACAAAUAAAAAAGACGGAAAACCUGCUACAACAGAAAAAAUAACACAAAUAAUAAUUAUAUAAGAUAAAUCAUUAUUUAAUCUGGUGUGUUUCAUGUGCAGUUCUCUCUGCCGUAAGUGGGAUCAAGCCUCUAGGCCAAGGUAUAGAAAUUAAAAGGAUGCUAAUGAAUUCUUCUUUUUCUCUUAUUCAAUUUCAAUGAUCAAACAACUGAAAAAAAUGGAUAAUGAUCCUUGCAGAAGCGAUUGUGGGUGUUUCCGUUGCAAUACUGGUAGCCCUCUUCUGUUUUCAACGUUUUGGUACAGACAAAGUGGGAUACUCAUUUGCUCCAGCCAUAUGCAUUUGGUUUUGUUUAAUAAGUGGUACCGGUAUGUACAACUUGUUCAAGCAUGAUGUGAGUGUCUUACGUGCCUUUAAUCCCAAAUACAUUUUUAACUACUUCAAAAGAAAUGGUAAAAAAGGAUGGCUUUCUCUUGGUGGAGUUAUCCUCUGCAUUACAGGUUAGAAUUUUAUUUACAGUAUCCGUAUAAUUAAACGGUUAUACCAUGCUACUUCACGUCUGUGUUCUUAUCUGGUGAAAGACUAUUUUAUGAAACUAUUACAGGAUCCGAAGCUAUGUUUGCUGAUUUGGGUCACUUUAGUGUGCGGUCUGUUCAAGUAAGUCUUCUGCAUUUUUUAUUUUCUUCUUUGCCCUAAGUAAUCAAAAAGAUGUACUUCCUCUUCCCUUUUUAUGUGGCACACUUUUCGUUUUAAAUUGUCCUUUAUUAUAUUUGAUAUUUGUUUCUAGUUUUUGGUCAAUCUAAGUGAACUCACCAUGUAUAUAUAUUGCAGAUAAGCUUCAGUUGCUUAGUAUUUCCAUCUAUCCUCUCUGCUUAUAUUGGGCAAGCUGCUUACCUUACAAAAUUCCCAGAAAAUGUGGGGAAUGCUUUUUAUGCCUCUGUUCCAGGCAAGUCUCCUAUAUAUAUGUGGCAAAUUUGUUAACUUUUUCCAUAUUCGUUAUAUAGAUAUUGAGGCCUUUUGGGUUAAAGCCCAAUGGGAAAACACUGUGAGGCACCAAAGAUCGGACCAAAGUGGACAAUAUUUUGGCAGUUGAGCCUGGGUCGUGAAAGAUAAACUAAUCAUAAAAUUAUUUACUUUAUAAAUACCAUGCAUAAUAUUGAUUUUGUUGGUGUUGCUUACAGAUCCACUUUACUGGCCAACAUUUGUAGUGGCUGUUGUUGCGGCCAUUAUUGCAAGUCAAGCAAUGAUAUCUGGAGCUUUUUCUAUUGUGGCUCAGGCCCAAAGUCUAGGUUGUUUCCCAAGGGUGAAGGUAAUUCACACAUCUGCAAAGCACGAGGGUCAGGUUUACAUUCCCGAGUUGAAUUACUUCCUCAUGGUUGCAUGUGUUGUAGUUACUCUCAGCUUCAAAACCACAGGAAAUUUGGGGAAUGCUUAUGGAAUUUGUGUGGUUAGUGCUGAGCUCAUAACCACAAAUAUGGUGACAUUAGUAAUGCUUCUUAUAUGGAAAAUUAGCAUAUGGCGGAUUAUCUUAUUCUACGUGGUGUACGUUACCAUAGAAUCUACAUAUCUAUCCGCUCAGCUGACAAAGUUCGUGCAAGGUGGUUUUCUACCUUUGGCUUUCUCAUUUGUGCUCGUGAUCAUUAUGGGGAUUUGGCACUAUGUUCAAAAACAUAGAUAUGAAUUCGAGCUCAAGAACAAGGUUUCAAGUGACUACAUUACGGACUUAGCCAAAAAUCCAGACAUCAAAAGAGUACCUGGAAUAGGACUACUCUACUCUGAAUUAGUACAGGGGAUUCCACCAAUAUUUCCCCACUUUGUCUCCAAUAUUCCGUCGGUCCAUUCUAUUAUAGUUCUGGUGUCAAUUAAAUCCAUUCCUAUAAACAAAGUAGCGCUGGAGGAACGGUUCUUGUUCAGACAUGUUCAGCCUAGAGAAUACAAGGUGUUCCGAUGUGUAGUUAGGUUAGGGUACAAUGAUCAACUUGGGAAACCAGAGGAAUUUGAAAACCAAUUGGUGGAACAUUUGAAAGAGUUCAUUCGAGAUGAAUACUAUAUUCUUGCAGCACAUGCUGAUCAAGUUGCAGAUAGAGAAAUUGAACCUGCAGUAUCUGGCCAACUAGUGGCUGGAAAUUCAUCCCGGGUCUACACGGAGGAAGAGCUGGAGCAACAAGUAGAUUCUAGAGUUUCAUCAGCUGGUUCGAUUCGAUCAAUGAACACUUCAGCAGCUCAGUCGAAUCAUUCAUCAAAUAGAAUACAAAUGGUCCCACCAAGUUUGGAAGAAGUAGAAGUGAUGCAGUUUGUGGAAAAAGCAAAGGAGCAAGGAGUGUUCUAUCUCCUGGGAGAAGCAGAGGUGGUCACUAAACAAGAUUCUUCAUUCUUGAAGAAAUUUGUUGUCAACUAUGCCUAUAAUUUCUUGCGCAAGAACUUCAGGCAAGGGGAGAAAGUUAUGGCCAUUCCCAGGACUAGGCUGCUAAGGGUCGGCAUGACUUAUGAAUUAUAAUUGUGACGUAUCAGACAGUAAUAAACUUACUACCAAAUACUCUCAUAACAAACAAACAGAGCAAAAGAUCUCUGCAUUUUUCCUAAAACUUUAUUUUUAUCCUUUAAUACUGUGUGCAAGCUUUCAAUUUGAGUUAAUGUACUAUUAAAACCUGUUUGGAAAUGUUUACUCCCUCUAUCCUCUCUAUCCCAUGUUCUAACUUUGUUUGCCCCUAUUAAUAUUGAUGACUUUCUACUAUUAAAAAACACUCCUUAAAUAGCUCUAAUUUGGAAGAAGUCUAGUCUAGUACUUCGGUAUGACCUUCCUAUAUGUAUGUAAUAAGUAUAAUUUCAACAGAUUAAUGAGUAAACGUAGAAAUUCACGCUGAAAACAUAUAUUGACCAAGGUGUUUCGACCUUGAAGUAGAAUGAGAAACAAGAAAAGGAACAAAAUUAGUCUGAUCAGCUUCUCUUCCCGAUAGAGCCUUAUCCCCACCAAUAAGAUUUGAUCAGCAUAUAUAACACUAAAUUUGUAUCUGUCCUGAACCAUUUACAUUCAGCAGAGCAAACAUUGGACUAAAAUCUUGGAGAGUUCAUGCUAAUAGCAUGAAGCACAAUACUACAAUAUUGCAUUUCAUUUUCAAAAAAUAUUUUCUGAACCAUAGAAAACUAGAAGAACAUCAGUAACAAGGUAAUACCUGGAUUUUUGAGCUGUCAAAUAUAAAACCAUUUAGGGCAUAUGUUUUGCCACUGAAAAGUACACAAAAGCAAAUUGACCAUGAGUCCAUGAUUUACCAAACGAACUACACAGAUCUGAACAGAAAAAGAAAGCAUACGAAAGAGAGCAUUAGCAAGUCAAAAUUAACUCCGAAAGAAGCACUUCAUGAAACAUCCCAAAAUAUACUCCAAUUGAUUUAUUACACUUAUUAUCAGGACAAUCAACACAUAGUUCCUUAAUUCCCUAUUACAUUUCAUGAUUACAACAAAUAAAAAAAAAAUUUAAAAAAAGUAGCAUUGUGUAAAGGAAUCAGUACAAAGUUCACCUACAAAAUAAAGAGAAGAAAGCAAACAAUCUCUAACGAGCAAAGUCACAGAGACUUACCGGUAGAACGACGGUUGCGAAAGGAAGGAGAAGCGGAGAGGCAAGUCUAGCCUCUUUCCAGUCACUGAUCAGCAUGGGCGAAGUAGCCGUCGAUCGAGAGAAAAAAUGACAAAGGCUAAUUGGUUUUUAAUUUGGG